GAUGAACGCUGGCGGCGUGCCUAAUACAUGCAAGUCGAGCGAACAGACGAGGAGCUUGCUCCUCUGACGUUAGCGGCGGACGGGUGAGUAACACGUGGAUAACCUACCUAUAAGACUGGGAUAACUUCGGGAAACCGGAGCUAAUACCGGAUAAUAUAUUGAACCGCAUGGUUCAAUAGUGAAAGACGGUUUUGCUGUCACUUAUAGAUGGAUCCGCGCCGCAUUAGCUAGUUGGUAAGGUGACGGCUUACCAAGGCAACGAUGCGUAGCCGACCUGAGAGGGUGAUCGGCCACACUGGAACUGAGACACGGUCCAGACUCCUACGGGAGGCAGCAGUAGGGAAUCUUCCGCAAUGGGCGAAAGCCUGACGGAGCAACGCCGCGUGAGUGAUGAAGGUCUUCGGAUCGUAAAACUCUGUUAUUAGGGAAGAACAAAUGUGUAAGUAACUAUGCACGUCUUGACGGUACCUAAUCAGAAAGCCACGGCUAACUACGUG
rnacentral:rRNA from 1 species